rnacentral:lncRNA from 1 species
UCAUGAAUACCAACCAAAUGGAGUCACUCCCAAAAGUUCAUUUUGAUGUAGGUCAAACUGAAGGCGACUGCCCAAAAUUCAACUCUUAUGCCUUGAAGCCUAGAUUAAUGUUCAAGAAGUGAGGCUGGUUAGAUUAAUGUUCAAGAACUGAGGCUGGUUAAGUAAAGAAGAAUAAGCAAAUAAAAAACAAGUUCGACUAAUGGAGAUAUUAAAAUGAAAAAAAAAGGAAAUCCAGAUACUUGGUAGGAACACUCAAGUCAUGUGUGUUUGGGAGAAGAGUAUGCAAACUAGGGGCUUUCUAGCCAAAAAAAGAAAACACUGGCUUUUAGCAUGAACUCUGAAGUAACAUAUGACACUAGCGAUUCCUCUUUAUUUAUUUUUACUUCCCCUAAAAGGAUCAAAAGGACUAAAAGAGCGAAUGCAAG